rnacentral:sRNA from 1 species
GUCCAUGUUGCAACAAGAUAUAAUAUGCAAACAACAUCAUCUUGAAUCACUAGAUAGACUCUUGACAGAAAGCAAAGGGGAAAUGGAAAAGGAAAAUAUGAAGAAAGAUGAAGCUUUAAAAGCAUUACAGAACCAAGUAUCUGAAGAAACAAUCAAGGUUAGGCAACUAGAUUCAGCAUUGGAAAUUUGUAAGGAAGAACUUGUCUUGCAUUUGAAUCAAUUGGAAGGAAAUAAGGAAAAGUUUGAAAAACAGUUAAAGAAGAAAUCUGAAGAGGUAUAUUGUUUACAGAAAGAGCUAAAGAUAAAAAAUCACAGUCUUCAAGAGACUUCUGAGCAAAAUGUUAUUCUACAGCAUACUCUUCAGCAACAGCAGCAAAUGUUACAACAAGAGACAAUUAGAAAUGGAGAGCUAGAAGAUACUCAAACUAAACUUGAAAAACAGGCAAGUAAAGGUUGAGAUGGAUCAGUACAAAGAAGAGCUGUCUAAAAUGGAAAAGGAAAUAAUGCACCUAAAACGAGAUGGAGAAAAUAAAGCAAUGCAUCUCUCUCAAUUAGAUAUGAUGUUAGAUCAGACAAAGACAGAGCUAGAAAAGAAAACAAAUGCUG